rnacentral:rRNA from 1 species
ACUGAACGCUGGCGGCAUGCCUUACACAUGCAAGUCGAACGGCAGCACGGGAGCAAUCCUGGUGGCGAGUGGCGAACGGGUGAGUAAUGUAUCGGAACGUACCUUUCAGUGGGGGAUAACGUAGCGAAAGUUACGCUAAUACCGCAUAUUCUGUGAGCAGGAAAGCAGGGGAUCGCAAGACCUUGCGCUGAUUGAGCGGCCGAUAUCAGAUUAGCUAGUUGGUGAGGUAAAGGCUCACCAAGGCGACGAUCUGUAGCGGGUCUGAGAGGAUGAUCCGCCACACUGGAACUGAGACACGGUCCAGACUCCUACGGGAGGCAGCAGUGGGGAAUUUUGGACAAUGGGCGCAAGCCUGAUCCAGCCAUGCCGCGUGAGUGAAGAAGGCCUCGGUUGUAAG